GAGGCGGUAUCGGCAAGGGACCGAACUGCACUCUGCAUGUGCAAGCAAUCACAACAGCAUAAUGCAUACGUUGGAUUCUGCUCUGAGCCGAAGGGACCGAGACAGAAGG
rfam:Paenibacillus sp. P1XP2 CM49_contig000014, whole genome shotgun sequence.